CACAUCUGGGGGCUGGAAGUCCAGGAGCAGGGUGCCAGCGCAGUUGGACUCUGAACGCAGUGGAAGUGAUGCUUUUGGACUUCAGAGAUUAUUAGUUCAUGAGAGGACUUUCAGAUGAGUUUUUUAGAAUGCUCAUUCUUUGGUGUCUCCUCUUGGAAGCCAGUCUUCAUGCUGUGAGAAGCCAUGCCUCCUGGAGAGGCUAUAAGAUGAUACACCGCCUGUCAACAUCUCCACGGAACUCCCAACUGACCAGCAGCAUCAAUCACCAGUCAUGUGAAUGUGCCAUCUUGGAUGUUCCGGCCCAGUAGAAGCCUCAGAAUACUGCAGCUGAUAUCAUGUAGAGCAGAGAACUGCGUGGUUCACCACAAUUUUGUCAGAAAUAAUGAGUCAUUGUCUUGAGCUGCUAAGCUUUGGCAUGAUUUAUUACACAUUAAUAGAGUACUAGUAUAGCUGGGGUAUUUUACAUUUCUGGUGCUGUUGUUAAUGGAAAUACUUUUCUGCAUAUUUUAUAACUGGUAUCACUGGAAUAUAGGAAAACUGUUGCUAUCUGGCAAACUCAAGUUAUCUGACUGUAUUUAAUCAUUUUAAGGUCAUCGUCUUGGAUUUUCUAGUUACAUAAUCACAUAUCUGAAAGCAUAAUUUUGUUUCCUUUCCAACAUUAAAUCUCAUUGUGUUUGA